CGAUCCCUGUGAUCCCUGUUCCCCUCUAGCUUCUGCCAUGGAGGAGGAGAGAGGCUGGGCUUUCAGUGCCUCUGGGGAAUGACCUCCCGACGUCACUGCCCACCUGCCCUUUGCUAAUCUGUGUACAAUAGUUAGAGACAAUAUAAAGCCCCUGGCAGGGUCCAUGGCUGCGUCUUGCCCAUAGUAGGAUGUGAUCAUCUUGUUUUUGGAAAAGGGUCGUCUCCUCACUUCCACCCCCUUAUGUUCCACACACAGCCUAACUCUGUCUCCUGGUUCUCAUUUGAUAUUGUGGUGCAGCGACCUCUCUUCCUCUCUCUGCGUGCCUCUUCCAGUUCCCAGUGAGCCAAAGCAAAGCAUUGCUGAAGCCCCAGGUCUCCGGUUCCCAAGUUGUGGCCCUCACUUAGACAUACCCAGCCCAUGGAGUGCUGGUGCACCUUGGUACAGGGUGGUCUGUUGCGCUCCCUCCACAGGAGGCUCUAGGCAUAGGCAGCUGGGUAUGCAGUCAGUACGGCCCCUCAAAGGGUCACGUUUGGAAUUCUCAGGCUCUUAAGUCUUUGGGUGUCCUGUUAAGAUGCAGAGUCCAUAACCGCUCCAUAGAGGAGCAGGGGGAGGCGUUUGUGUUGUGAUGGGAUUUUGACACUAGCUGAGGUGGAGGCUUGCUGAUAGUAAGCACAGG
rnacentral:lncRNA from 1 species